UAUGUACCGAUCGAGCUUUUGCAGUUUGUAGAGAAAAAACUUGAAAACUUGUCUCGGUAAAUAAACGGUCCAAAGCAACUAGAGGGAGCAAAAAGUAGGAGCAGGAGAUUGACCGACAACCACCGCGAAAAGCUCGGCACCACCGCACCGAAAGUAAGCGGAAAGGCCAUCGAGAAGUCGUUCGCCGGCAAGGCUCAGAAAAACAUCGUGAAGGGCGAAAAGAAGAAGGAAAGCUACGCUACAGGGUGCUGAAACAAGUCCAUCCGGACACCGGUGUCUCGUCCCGUAACCCGUACCCGUAACAACAGCUUCGCCAACAAGUCGCCAACGACAUCUACGAACGCAUCGCCGCCGUAGCCUCCAGUCUGGCGCACUACAACAAGCGGUCGACGGUCACCUCCCGGGAAAUUCAAACCGCCGUCCGGUUGCUGCUCCCCAGAGAGUUGGCCAAGCAUGCUGUUUCCGAAGGUACCAAGGCCGUCACUAAAUACACAAGCUCGAAGUAAACGAGGCAGACGCACCCCGAAAAAUCGGAUGUGUGUCUCUAGCGACUACAAAUCCACUCCCACCGGAGCAAGAACGACAGUAGGUUUUCAUCGCUGUAGGUGCCACCGGGGCCACAAUGGGACGCGUCACGAAUCGGGGAAGUUCAGCAGUCAUCACUGCCCAUCCUAUCAGAAAGACCCGAGAUGCUCCUCUUUCAAUGAAGGAUGCGCUGCACGCAAUGAUGCGUGGAGGUCUUUGGAAAAGUGUAAAUCCUCUUGUGAGUGGAGGUGAUAAUUAUUACUUAAUGAAUAAAAAGAUCUUGAACGCAUAA